rnacentral:tRNA from 1 species
GAAGGUAUAGCUCAGUAGUAGAGUAUGUGCUUAGCAUGCACGAGGUCCUGGGUUCAAUCCCCAGUACCUCUA